CCCAGUGUCUGACUCCGCAGGGCCCUGGUGGUGUAAAGGUACUGAGACUUGCCUGUGUUUAGGGCUUCCUGAAGAUUAAAUGGCUGCUGAAGUUCUUGAGUUUAGCUCUAGCUCAAAAGAUACUGCGUCAGACUCUGCGUUCUGAGUAGAGUCUCAGAGAAUGAAAAAAGAAAUACGAUGAAAAAGGGGAAAACUUCAAUCCAGAAUCUCUUGCCACAGUUUCUGGGAGAAUGCUGGCAAUUCCCAGGAAGAUACGUGGAGAACGGAAAGGUUGCUACACCCAAAUAGUGGAGCAAAGCUAUGAUUAUGGAGGAUUGGACCUGCAAACUCCAGAACAGAGUUCUGCCCUCUGAGGACCCUGCCCUUUCCCAAAAGGGAUAUCUUGAGAAGGAAAGUAUGGCUGCUCUUUGCUGGACAGCAGAGUCCCAGAACCCCAUGCAGGUGUUUUAGGGCUUUACGUCAUUCAAGGAUGUGGCUGUGAACUUCACUGGGAAGAAUGGAGAGAACUGGACCCUGCUCAGAGAGUCUUGUACAGAGAUGUAAUGCUGUAGAACUAUAGGAACCUGGUCUUCUUGGGAUU
rnacentral:sRNA from 1 species